rnacentral:rRNA from 1 species
GACAUAGGUCGCGAACGUUAUCCGGAAUUAUUGGGCGUAAAGGGUGCGUAGAUGGUGUGAUAAGUUGUUGGUGGUAAACCGAGGCUCAACCUCGUGGAAGCUGAUAAUACUGUCACACUGGAGUGUAGGAGAGGUUAACGGAACUCCAUGUGGGAGCGGUAAAAAUGCGUAGAUAUAUGGAAGAACAUCAAUAACGGCGAAGGCAGUUAACUAUUCUACUACUGACAUUGAGGCACGAAAGCGUGGGGAGCAAAACGG